GCUGUUUCUUAAGGUAGGGGCGAUUGGGGCCAAAUAAGUUCCUUUUGCUUUUUUUUCUUUAUUUUAAAAUCAUGUUCCACUGAUCGUAUCACAGUUGGAACAAGUUCGUGAUUUUGGUUGUCCUAACAUUUUAACAUUUUAGAAAAUUGAGUGUGCGUGUGUGUGAGCUCUUUUUGUUCUGGGUAGAACAAAGGAGGAUAGAAAAUUUUCAUCCCAUUUUAAGAGUGUUCUUCUUUUUAUUUAUUCAGUGCGGUGAAUUUGCCGAAGGUUUGUGAAGGUGCUUAUUGACGGCGUAGGACGUUCACGUUCUGUCUGCUGAACUUCCGGGUGAAAUCCUCGGUGCUUUUCAACAAGGUCGGAGUUCUGGUAUAGGAGAGCCGGAAUUCUGGUGAAGUGCGUCGGCUUUUUCUGCUGUCAGAACGACGGUGCUUCAGCCCAGGAGCAAAGGUUUGGUAACCUUGGUGGUGUUGGCUGGAAGCGGGGAAAUCCUCGCUCAUAGAGAUCAGCUGCGACCAUACCGGGCUCGUGAGGAAGCGAGGACAAAUAUCCUAAUUCCGACGGCAUCCGGUGCAAACAUGAACCUGGAGCAACCAGCGACGCUGAGAGCGUCCGGAAGCGCAGACGAGGAUGGAGAUUUCCGUGGAUACUCGAACGCCGAGCUGGCUAGGGCCAGAAAAAGAAAAGUCGAUGCGGCUCAAUUGCCGGAAGUGUGCUUAAGACGUUCAAAACGUUUGCGUAAACCUAAACAGGAUUUCGAAUUUAAAUAUGUUUAAUUUUGUUUUUUUUUAUGUCGUUAAAUUGCGAUUUCGGAUAUAUAGAGAAAUGUAUUUUGAUCAGAAUUAAAAUGAAUUGAUUUUGUUAGCAUUAGAAGUGAAUUCUUUUACUUUGGAAACAGUGAAUUGUAAAAUAUUUUUAGUUUAAUCUUAGACUAUAGAAACAACUUCCGAAAGGGGAAGGAGUUGUUGCAUACGGGCCUUGGGCCAAACAACUGUACUAAAAAUGUAACACUAAUACACUCACAAAGAAAUGAAUAAAACAUCAACGCGACGGUUGUCGCGCUCUCUUUCGCUGUUCACCAGUGCAACAUACAAGACGUGCGUUAUUCUUCUUACUCGACUUGCUGUCCGAUC